UAUAUAUAUAUAUAUAUAUAUAUAUAUAUAUAUAUAUAUAUAUAUAUAUAUAUAUAUAUAUGGAACAACAAUAAUUAAGUGGUGCUAUGUUUUUUAUUUUUUUUUUUGAAGCUAAGGAGAUUUUUAUGUCAAGGUUUGACCAUGUAUUCCAAACAUUUUUCUCUCUGUCGUUCAACUGCACAUUUCUACUAUUGAGUUAAAGGUGAUACCAGGAGAGGGCAAAUUGGUCUUCUUCAGUGGACGGGCUACCAAUAAUAAAUGGAAUCAGUGAGCAACUAAUUGAACCACCAGUACAUUUAUUCCCCUUUACAUUUCCCAAGCUUCUGUGAGCAAAGCCUUCACCGUUGGCGGUGAAGGCCGUUGCUGCUGGCUGUAUAUAUAACUGGUACCUCCUGCCCCACUGGCAUCUGUGUUCUGUAGUAACAACCCUUUGAGUGGCUCUCUGCAUAGGGUUUUCCCAUCAAUGAAUUCAGAUCGAGCAUUUAAAUAUGAGGUCGAGCUAAGAUGCACUCACCACUUUCUGAACGGUAAAGGUGGUACAGGCCACCACACACUGAACCUACAUUGCCCCGGCCUUCCAGCGGAGUCCGCACAGCACACGGCAACAAUGCCUUUUUCCUGAACUUCCACCUGUCUGGUAGUGCUUCGAGUAAAGACCCCCCCGUCACCCUCCUAACCCACAGCCCCACCCAGCCCUCCCUGGCAGAGUCCCACCCACACCCGCCAGUGCUAAUCGCAGGCUAAAUUUACCUCUGGGCGAUCUAAAUUUACCAGGUGCUAAAAAGGCCACUCUGUGUUGCCUAAUAGGUGCUGACUGAGUCUUUGGUAACAGAGAAGGGACUCAAUUUUUUUCUGCCCGUACCUCUCCCUACUCCUCCUGUUCGCGUUCCUCCACGCCAUAAUCACAUUAUACCUGUGGUGACGAUGGGGUGCGGAGCUGGUUGUUUUUGCACCAAAACUGGAUGGCAUAUAGGCUUACCAUAGAAGAAAUGAGCGCAAGAGAGAGAGAGAGAAAGAGAAAGAGAGAGAGAGGGUCUUCAGAGCUGGACUGAGGCCUGGCUUACAGUAGUUCUCGGCGUUAGUUGAAGUAAAUGGCACUUUAAAUGGAUUGUUUUUGCAUCGGGUAUGGUUGCUUGAGGUGGGGCCUCGGAUGAGAGACAUGGGUCUCUUGAUGAGUUAGUGGGGUGACGUGAAGCGACCUUAAUGACCUUGUCAGAUGUUAUUUAGCCGUGAGCGUGUGUGUCUGAACGGACAGAGCCACAUGAUGAUGAUGAUGAUGAGGAGGAAGGGGUGUUUUGAUGGACAGCCUGUUUAGUGAUUGAUCAGCUGGAUCCUGGUGGUCAAGGCCCCUCUCCUCCGGCCCAGGGGGCAGGUGUUGAGUCGGCCCCCCUCUGGCCUCUUUUCCCCAUGGGAAACAACGUACGCGUACCACGUGUGUGUGAUGUAGCACCAUUUCUAGCGUGAAUAAUGUUUUUUGUCUGGCGGAGGGAUUUUUUUUUAUUUUGCAUACAUUUUUUGUUUUCACCCUUGAACAAGUGUCAUCGAAAAGAGUAUCGCACACAUCCUCAUGCAUCAGUUAGGAGUGUAUGUGUGUGUAAGUGUGUGUGUACAUGGAUCACGUAACGCCAGCACCGCCUCUCAAUGUGACUCAACCCACCACCACCACCACCUGAGAAACUGUUGAAACUGACACCCUUCAACCACUCCCCACUAUGGGAAAGACAAAGGAUGGGUGUUUACAUUUAUGAUCUAUGUUCUUGUGCGGGGGGGGGGUAGUUUGCAAUUUAACUAUUUUAAACUUGUGUUGUUAGAACCACACUUAUUUUAGCUGCACUAUGAGCGCCUCGCUGGUGGCAGGAAACCACAGGGUCUGGGCGGGACGGGAGUCUCGUAAACUCCCCCUAUUUCCCUCCUCCCUCCCCCACUAUGACUCACGGUUUCAGCUGCUCGGAGGACAGAAAAAAAACGAGACUAAUUAUUUUAAAGACAAAUUUUAUUCUUUCCCAUAUAUAUAUUUCUUUUGGAAAGCUGGGAUAAGUGCUAUAUGCGAACAUUAAAAUAAUGUGUAUGACUUAAAAGGUAAAAUAAAAUAUUAUUUUUCAUUAUUACUUCUCCCUAAUAUGCAAUGGAGUGGACUCUUGACAAAAUGGUUGCAAUCCUCUGUCACUUUAAAAUGCUGUAUGUGCACAUUGGUUGCUGUGUGGAUGCGGGUGUUGAGGCGGCGGCAAAGUUGGCAACCAACUAACGGUUGUCAUUCUCCAGCGCCUCACUUGUGUUCCCGGGCCGCCUUAUUCCUUAUUCGUUCUGACCAAUCAGGAAGGACCCUCGUGAACCCCUCCCACCCGACCCACCCUCACCACCACCCCCUCCAAUGGGGGCAGCAGCCCCACCUCCACGGGCCAACCGAACACUCUUGUCAGAUGAAUAUCACUGUUCCAUUUUGCUUCUCUCUCUCUAUCCCUGACUCCUUCCUUCCUCUUACUUUGCUUUUCUUUAGCCCUGUUUCUACCGUUUCCUCCUGCUGACCAGGAGGGUUUGGAGAGUGUAAAUUACGUUAUCAUGUUCACGUUUCACCGUUUAUGUUCUGUAUCUCUGUGCUUCAUCCACCACCACCUCCCCUCCACUUCAAAAAAAGUAGAAGCAAAAUCACUUUUUUUGCUUUCCCCGGAGUAUAACCUGUUCAUUUUAAAGAGCCGUAUGAUGGGACACUUGUAGCUGUCACUAUUGGUGCUUGGCUUACGCUUCAUUGUCUUAAUAUUCCAAAU
ensembl:lncRNA